UGGGGAAUAUUGGUCAAUGGGCGCAAGCCUGAACCAGCCAUCCCGCGUGCAGGAAGACGGCCCUAUGGGUUGUAAACUGCUUUUCCAGGGAGAGAAACUUGCGUACGCGUUGCGCAAUUGACGGUACCCUGGGAAUAAGCAUCGGCUAACUCCGUGCCAGCAGCCGCGGUAAUACGGAGGAUGCGAGCGUUAUCCGGAUUCAUUGGGUUUAAAGGGUGCGUAGGCGGACUAUUAAGUCAGUGGUGAAAUCCUGCAGCUUAACUGCAGAACUGCCAUUGAUACUGAUAGCCUUGAGUUUGGUUAAGGUAGGCGGAAUGUGUAAUGUAGCGGUGUAAUGCUUAGAUAUUACACAGAACACCGAUUGCGAAGGCAGCUUACUAAACUGUAACUGACACUGAUGCACGAAAGCGUGGGGAUCGAACA
rnacentral:rRNA from 1 species